AGUAGUGGAUAUUCCUCAAAGUGGAAUAUAGAAGCCAAAGCAAGCGGUAUUAAGUAUGCUUGAGAAAAUGAAGAGAAGAGCUCACAGCACUACUAAACUGUGAACUUAGAAUUGGGAACACAUGGCAACAGUUAAGUAGCUGCAAGGUUAAUGACUCAGGUGCUACAUAUAUGUUUUAAAAUGUGGCAUCUCCAGUGAUUGAAUGCAAGCAGGAAAUCCAUUCUGGAACCAUGAGGGCAGCACUGAGGAUCCUGAGGGGAAAGGAGCAGAAAGCCAGCCAGCAAAGGAGGAAGGGCACUCCUUCCUGCCCUUGGUGCAAACUAGAGCUCACCUGUGUCCUCGGCGAGGCCUCAUCUGACCCAGGCUGGAAGCAGAAAUGCACCUCUCCAUGCCACGGCUCCCCAAAGGAAGCGACCCAGCUCUGACAUGCUGUGCUGGUCCCUCACUCAACACAGCAGCUCUCUAGUCCCACUUCCGGGAGCCGGAUACAGAGCCACAAGGGUAGGGAGCCUGGCC
rnacentral:lncRNA from 1 species